GACGAACCGUGCGAACGUUAUUCGGAAUCACUGGGCUUAAAGGGCGCGUAGGCGGGCUGCCAAGUCAGAGGUGAAAUCCUGCGGCUCAACCGCAGAAGUGCCCCUGAUACUGGCCGUCUCGAGGGGGGGUAGGGGCAUGUGGAACUUCCGGUGGAGCGGUGAAAUGCGUAGAUAUCGGAAGGAACGCCGGUGGCGAAAGCGACGUGCUGGACCCCUUCUGACGCUGAGGCGCGAAAGCCAGGGGAGCAAACGGG
rnacentral:rRNA from 1 species